rnacentral:rRNA from 1 species
AUUGAACGCUGGCGGAAUGCUUUACACAUGCAAGUCGAACGGCAGCACGGACUUCGGUCUGGUGGCGAGUGGCGAACGGGUGAGUAAUGUAUCGGAACGUGCCCAGUCGUGGGGGAUAACGUAGUGAAAAUUACGCUAAUACCGCAUACGAUCUAUGGAUGAAAGCGGGGGAUCGGAAGACCUCGCGCGAUUGGAGCGGCCGAUAUCAGAUUAGGUAGUUGGUGGGGUAAAGGCCCACCAAGCCAACGAUCUGUAGCUGGUCUGAGAGGACGACCAGCCACACUGGAACGGAGACACGGUCCAGACUCCUACGGGAGGCAGCAGUGGGAAUUUUGGACAAUGGGCGAAAGCCUGAUCCAGCCAUUCCGCGUGCAGGAUGAAGGCCCUCGGGUUGUAAACUGCUUUUGUACAGAACGAAAAGGUUUCUACUAAUACUAGGAGCUCAUGACGGUACUGUAAGAAUAAGCACCGGCUAACUACGUGCCAGCCGCCGCCGUAA